UACGAAGGGGGCUAGCGUUGCUCGGAAUUACUGGGCGUAAAGCGCACGUAGGCGGCUUUCUAAGUCGGGGGUGAAAUCCUGGAGCUCAACUCCAGAACUGCCUUCGAUACUGGAGAGCUUGAGUCCGGGAGAGGUGAGUGGAACUCCGAGUGUAGAGGUGAAAUUCGUAGAUAUUCGGAAGAACACCAGUGGCGAAGGCGACUCACUGGCCCGUUACUGACGCUGAGGCGCGAAAGCGUGGGGAGCAAACAGG
rnacentral:rRNA from 1 species